CCCCGGUGCAAAUUCCGCGCUGCCCAGGCAGGCACCCCCAGGAGGGUGAUGCUGCUGCUCCAGGCCAGCCUUAGGCUGAGGUCCCCCAGGGGUCGUGACAUGGCAAGUUCUCGUCUGUUAACAGCCAGCAGAGGCUACUUCCAGAGAUGAACCUGAUGCUUCAAGUCACCUUCCUCGGUCUCCUGUCCCUGCCGGUGCAGGGCUGGGUUCAGAGCAGAUCCCUGCAGAGUGAGAGAUGGAGCCAGCUGGACCUGCCGCAGAACAGAGAGCUGUUCCUAAGUGCCCUGCAGAGCUACUUCAGCAGCAGAGGGAUCCACAUAGAGAAGGCUGCGCCGGCCUUUGUGCUGUCCACGAGGAAUCGCCACCAGGGGGACCAGGAAGGACGAGAGCUGCUGGCCCCCGAGAAGGGGGCAGAUGACUAGGAAGAGCUGAUGGCAGGUGGAGUCCUGGCAAUACGAUCUCUUCUGCCUCUGAGUACUUCACAGUGAUGCACUGACUCUCUCCUGCCGUUGUGCCGCUACAUGCACACACACGCGCGCGCACACACACACACACACACACACACACAC